UACAGAGGGGGCAAGCGUUGUUCGGAAUUACUGGGCGUAAAGGGCGCGUAGGCGGCCUGUUAAGUCGAACGUGAAAUCCCCGGGCUUAACCUGGGAACUGCACUUGAAACUACGAUGCUGGAGUAUGGCAGAGGGAGGUGGAAUUCCACGUGUAGCGGUGAAAUGCGUAGAGAUGUGGAGGAACACCGAUGGCGAAGGCAGCCUCCUGGGCCAAUACUGACGCUCAUGCACGAAAGCGUGGGGAGCAAACAGG
rnacentral:rRNA from 1 species